rnacentral:rRNA from 1 species
GGAUGCGAUCAUACCAGCACUAAAGCACCGGAUCCCAUCAGAACUCCGAAGUUAAGCGUGCUUGGGCGAGAGUAGCACUAGGAUGGGUGACCUCCUCGGAAGUCCUCGUGUUGCAUUCC